UCCACAACUCCCGAACUUGUGCUGCUAAAACCACUACAGCUCCUGGAUUUUUUUCUACAGCUAUAACCUGUAUAAAAAAACAUACAAUGUAAAGGGGUUAGCCUAAGAAUUAAAGGUGUACAAUUCAAAGAAACAGAAAUGUUCAAUAACAACACAUGGCAACAUUGGCAUUUGGCAAAAGGGUUUCAAUUUUUACUCCAUUCAAGAUACAUUUAUUAACUAUAAGCAUUCAAAGUGGCACGGACAAGAGGGCCACGACCUGCUCCAAGGACCAUAACAGUGACUUGAGUUUUUGUAUUACUUUCACUAUCUCCUUGACCCUUUUCUUUAUUUAUAUUGGAUGUUGGAGAUUCUUUCUAUAAGAAUGUUAAUAAUUAGUGUAUAUACGAUAAAAGAAGUAGUAAGUAAUUGUAAAAGUUAGACGAAUCUAUAACCACAACUUAUAUCAAACACGGCAGAAAGUAGACUCAUAAUUUUGACAAACACAAAAACUACAAAUUCAGAUUUUAAAGUUCUUCUUACUAGGAAAAUUGAAUCUUUUGUAAUAUUUAAUAUUAAAAAGACUUAUUUAUAACACUAUUAAAUAAUAGUACUGGCUAGUAUAUGUAGAGUAUGUAGAAUAUUGAAUGUUCAAUAUUGCACUUUUUUGACUUACACUUAACUUACAUCUAAACUGUCUUGACAACUAUUUUUCUUUUUAAGAUCUGCAAGUGCUUUAACAAUUGCAUUCUGGUAUUGAUUAUAUUUUAUUGGAUCUUUUUCAAACACAUUAUAUGUGUGGGUAUCAAGAUUGUCUGCUAAAGGUUGUAAUGGUGUCUGUAGAUAGUCCUCCCAGCUAAAAAAGAUGUUGUUAAAAUGUAAAUAUAUCUAUUAAUACAAAUAA